GCGACCCCCGGGUCGCGGAGGCCCCGCCUGCCGCGGGCGGAACGGCUGCGGUCGUUCGCGUUGUUCGGGGCGCCGGGUCUGCUC
rnacentral:tRNA from 1 species